AGAGUUUGAUCCUGGCUCAGAUUGAACGCUGGCGGCAGGCUUAACACAUGCAAGUCGAGCGGUAACAGAUCUAGCUUGCUAGAUGCUGACGAGCGGCGGACGGGUGAGUAACGCGUAGAAAACUGCCCAGUAGUGGGGGAUAGCCCAGAGAAAUUUGGAUUAAUACCGCAUACGCCCUACGGGGGAAAGGGGGCUUCGGCUCUCGCUAUUGGAUGUGUCUGCGUGGGAUUAGCUAGUUGGUGAGGUAAGGGCUCACCAAGGCGACGAUCCCUAGCUGGUCUGAGAGGAUGAUCAGCCACACUGGGACUGAGACACGGCCCAGACUCCUACGGGAGGCAGCAGUGGGGAAUAUUGCACAAUGGGCGCAAGCCUGAUGCAGCCAUGCCGCGUGUGUGAAGAAGGCUUUCGGGUUGUAAAGCACUUUCAGUGAGGAGGAAAAGUUAACGGUUAAUACCCGUUAGCCCUGACGUACUCACAGAAGAAGCACCGCUAACU
rnacentral:rRNA from 1 species